rnacentral:misc_RNA from 1 species
GUUUAAUGACAAAUCAUGGGGAGGAUUUCUGGUCUUUAUUGAAUUUUAACUUCAGGUACAGGUAUGUCAUAAUGUUUAAGUGACCAGCUCAACUGCUGUAGCAUCAACAGCUUUAAGGUACCGAUUGUGUGUCUCCAUGUUGCCAGAGGGUUAGUGGACGGAUGGCUUAUGCAAAGACCGCCACUCGUCUCAAGGGUUCAUUUAUCCAUCAACUGGUAGUAAUUGCUAUCUGUUUGACUAGCUAUCAGAAUGUAGUGGCUCUACAUGUGCCACAUAAGACAACUCAAACUUCUUCCACGUCUGAAC